CCUCAUGAUAAGCUCUCACAUGGAAAUGAUGAAUACUUGCUCUACCAUGACUAGUUCUCAAAAUUGAAAUCACUCUCAAGUUUAGGCAUGACUGUUAUUAAUUAAGAUUUGCUCUAAACCUGAACUUGUGGGAAGAGUACUUGAUCUAAAGUCUAAGUCGUUAACAGAUACGAUAUGGGAAGGUUGAGCUGCUGUUUAUGUGUUCCUAGAGAUGCU
rnacentral:lncRNA from 1 species